rnacentral:rRNA from 1 species
UACAGAGGUCUCAACCGUUGUUCGGAUUUAUUGGGCGUAAAGGGUGCGUAGGCGGCGGGGCAAGUCAGGUGUGAAAUCUCGGGGCUCAACCCCGAAACUGCACUUGAUACUGCCUUGCUCGAGUACUGGAGAGGAGACUGGAAUUUACGGUGUAGCAGUGAAAUGCGUAGAUAUCGUAAGGAAGACCAGUGGCGAAGGCGAGUCUCUGGGACAGUUACUGACGCUGAGGCACGAAGGCCAGGGGAGCAAACGGG